CAAAAGGCCAAAAGACAAAAAAGUCGGCAAAAAAGGCAACAAAUAAUCAAACAUAACAUUCUGGGUGAAAAUUCUUUCUCCUUUUAAAAUAUGUAGGUAAGACCUUUUGUCCCUACUAAUUUAACUUUUCUUCGAUAUAUUGUCUUUCAUUUUUAAUUUCAUUCCUGGAGCAGCAUUUGAAAAGGGCCCAACAGGUUUUGUUCUUUUUUUCGAAAUCGCUUCGAGGGUCUAACAGCAGCCCACCCACGCAAAUGAACACCGUUAUCCGAAAGAUUGAUGUUUGCUCUAUCUGAAAACUGUCUUGGUUUUUGUGAAUAAGUUGAUGGGGGCUCAGGAGCGACGUGUCAAGUCAUUGUUUACCAAUGCGUGUAUGCCCUUUUCAAAUGUUGCUCCAGAUUUGUACGAUUUAUCUUUUCAGCUUCAGCAUUUAAGAAGGGCGUAACUGGUUGAUGAUACGGCUCCUUCUUCUAUGGAUGUAGAUUGCAUGUUACCCCUCUAAUGUAAGCCAUCGAAAGAGGAGCAUUCUUUUUGUCUAGAAGUGCCACGCAACAGCUUUGAAAAAAGGUGUUGUGUUGGAAAGCAGUUACGCAGUUCUUGAAAUGCUGAGGCUGAGAGGACAAAAUGUAGGAAUGCAAAAAAAAAAAUCGAAGACAAUAUUGCGCGUUUCGCCGUAGAUUAUCGCACAAAAAUGUUCAAAAUCGCUAAUAGAUCGUCGCCAGUACAUCAUAUCGUGUCCGUGUCUUCUUCAAUAAAUGCGGAAUAUAGCUAUUGAUUGACCGCGCAGAACACACUGAAACGAUUAAAUGUAACCACGCAUAUCUAUUUACAUUUUUGCAUAACCUUGCUCGAUAAUUUUUCUUGUAAUGUAUAGUAGGUCGAAAAAAAUAAAAUUAGUAGGGACAAAAGGUCUUACCUACAUGUUAAAAAAAAGAAAGAAUUUUCAUGCAGCAUUUUAUGUGUGAUUUUGUAUUUUGGCCUUUCAAUAUUUUGGUUUUCUAUACUUUUAACUUACGCCGUUUGGCACACAGACAUAUUUCUUUUUGUUUAAUUUGUGGUUGCCCAUAUUUUGACUAUUGUUUUGAAGCAGAUUUUCUAUAUAGAGAGCAGUCUUGUGCAUUAUCACCAUCAUAACACAAAAAAGCCGCAACAUCAACAUUGCCCUUCUUCCUCCAUCAACGCUACAGCCGACCGUCUCUAAGUUGCUAUCGAACACAUUCGAGACGAACGCAUUGAUACGGUGGCUGCCGCCGCCACGCUCUUUCUCUGCAAAUCUCUUGAGUAGCCGAACGCUUCUUAACCGUCGUUCCGACCCAGAGCUAUGUCACUCACUCCUGGGUGACUCUCGCCUGAAAAUGCAAGGAUGAGGGUCAAUUUGUUAAGUAGUAUUGCAUGGCGCAGAAAACACAAACAUAGCACGCCCUAUGAAUAGAAUGCAAAGCGUAGAACAAAAACUCGCUUCGGUGUUUCAUCGUGUGGUUCGAAAACAAGAGACGAUCGCUGCUGUUGGAUGUGGUUGACUCUGCAUUGAACGAGGGUUGGCUUGAAUGGCUUUUGCGUGAAUCGAUUAUGUUUUGAUGGACUGCGUUUGUCGUAUGAAGUGAUGGUUAGAGCGCGUGUCAUUCGACAUUGACCAUCCUGAAACUGCACAACCCUGAUAGAGAGUGUAUGCUCUUCAGUCUACAUAUAUCGGUACUAACAUUUCAAAAUGGCGAAACUGCUUGCCGAAACCAAACCUUUAUCUCUCCGUUGCAAUGUACAACCACUACUGGACGGAGGAAAUGCAAUUCUUCCCGAUAGUGGUUGUUGGUGCCCAAGGAAAGAUGAGAUACGAUCUACAGCUAUGGGAGAAGAUAUUGUUUUGAAGAUCAGUUACGUCCUUUUGAAAUGUUGGUGCUGAUAUGCAUGUGAAUACUAUCGCUAUGACUGACAGUAAUACGAACAUCUAUUGACAUGUGGAAUCACAACACAAUACACACUUAAAACUGAUUCUCGAGCUCGGCAGAAAUAUUUACUGAUUUCGAACGGCAAUUCUUAAUUUUGCUGAUAUUUCAGCAAACAAAAUGUUUAUGCCGAGAUUGUUCAAACCAUUUUACCGAAAUAUCAGCAAACUGCUUUAAAAAUUGCAAAACUGACAGCAUUUUUUGCUGAACCUGUCGGUGAACACGGAUUUUACCGAAAUCAGUAAACGAGAUUACUGAGAUAUCAGCAAUCAUGUCACCCUUUGCUGAAUUUCGGUAAUACAACUGUCACUUUUGCAGGCGCCAUGUUUCGGAAAAAAAAAAACAAAACAACAAAUCAGUGGUAGUGGUGCUGAAGCCACAUGAAGCGCAUUUGCAAAAGAUUAAGAAGUCCAAACAGAAAAGCAGACACACCCAUUAGUAGCUGUUUUUGGAGGAGCAGUGGUACGCCUUUGCAGUAGCAAAUCUUGAGAUGAAACCCUCGGAUGAAAGAAUGUUUCCGGCGACAAAAUACAUAUUUUUCAUUGCUACUCUGUGGACAUGGACAAUGCAAAAUAAAUGUUCGAGAAUAAAACUUCUUUAUUGCGCUUUCGUGCGGGUUAAGAACUCUUCUUUAUA